UGGAUAGUUCCCCACCACUCCCUCACAAUCUCCUCCAUUCCCCAUUCUCUCCACCAUAGCCAGCGCUCCCUGGUCAGGCCGCCCCCUCCCCUUCGUCACCACCGCCGGCGCUCCCUGGUCAGGCUGCCCUCCCCUUCGUCACCAGCGUGGCCGCUCUCUCACACCCCAUAGGUCAAAGGUUGAAUUUUUAUCCGCCGCUGAUGGUGCUGCUGGGCGAGGAGGCGCUGGAUGCGCGUGCGCCGGCGCUGGAUCCGCGUGCGCCAGCGCUGGAUCUGCUCCGUCUGGCUCCGGCGACCUUACCCCGUGGCUCCGGGACAGGAAGGCUACCCCGACGACAUACAGGUCCGCCCCCUUCUCCUCUCCUCUUGGAUUUCUUCUUCUUCCCUUCCCUGAGAUGAGAUGUACGUUCCUGCCUCACGCACGCAGCAACUGGACUCUAUGCACAGAGAGGAGGAUGAAGACACCCAGCCAUGGAUUUUUAGCAGCACUCACUCAAGGAAAAAGUGCGCCACCUCCCGCCUCCCCUCUCUAUUUGAUUCAAUUCUACAGCUGUGUAUGCAGGUUCCUCACACCUUGUUGCUCUGUUGGUGUUCGUGCUGGGCUGCAGGAGACCUCAACAAGCCAAUGGAUGCAGCCAGCCUCCAACUCACCACGCACCUGCACCAACUUGAUGUAGGGAGAGGAGGAGUGAGGCUUCUCUCACGGGAUGACGCCCAGCCAUGGGGCAGCAGCAAUCCAAGGUCAAGCCUCCCUCUACCUCUCUCUCGUUUUGAUUUCAUAGGUCUGGUUCCCUGAUUUUUCUGCUGCUCUAGAUUCACUUGCAUGCUUGACUGAAUCUAGUUGCUCUCAGGCCCUAGUGUUCAAUGAGAUAGGCAUUGCAUUGUUUACUAAUUUAAUUUGCUUGCCUGCAGCCACAUGGUCCAGAGAUAGAAUUGAGAUAUUCAGACUAAGUUUAAUGAUUUGAUGGUUAUAAUUACUGAAUUUCGCUUGGUGCUAUCACUGUCGGCCUCUAGUGCUGAAUCAGUUGUACACUGUACUGUUUACCAAUUUAAUUAGCUUGCUUACCGCCACAUGGUCCAGAGAUAGAAAUUCAGAUAUUGAGACUAAAGUUUAAUGAUGUGCUGGUCAUAAUUGGUUCAGUGACUAAAUCUGUCCCCAAACUGUCAAAAUUGUAUGUCAAAGCUAAAAAACUAUCAAAACUUUGCUUUCAAGAUGAGCCCAAAUUCAGUAAGAUGUGUGCGCAGCUUGCUUUCAAGAAUGUUAAACUACUCCAUGCUUAUUUAAACUAAUUCCUCCUACAGAUUGCUGUCAAAAUAAGCCUAAAUUCAGAGUCUUCGGAAGUCAAUUACUUUGAGCCUUUGAGUUAGGAGGUAUACCAGUCUCUUUGUAGUUUGCUCUUAAUACACUCUUCCCUUGGCCAUGAUGAGAUGUUUAAGUCUUUCCACUUAUCAGUUUUUAGUUCCACUUGAAGCGAUGCAUAUUCGAAUACAUUUUCUAGUCCUUUGAGCUGUUGAAUGAAUAAAUGAAAAAGUAUUAGCAUCACAACUGAACAAUAACAGAAAUCAUGUUAUCAAAAGAUGGUGUAGUGGGACUAAUGACUAACCAUAGCGGUGAGGUCUUUGCGGCUCAUUCCUGGGCCUAGCGAGUCGAGCACCUGGAUGCAUCGCUGCCCGGCAUUUAUAACUGCUAGGUACCAAUGGAAGUGUUCAAUGUUAACUGGAAUGUAUAUCUGAAAAUAGGGUUUUUGUUAGUUUAGGUCCCAUCUAUACAAACAUUUAUAUUGAACUAAGACUCACCAUAUCAUGUUCCAAAUAAGUUAUAGCUCUGUUUAAUACCCAUCUUGGUGCGUCAUCUCGUAUAGAACUAAAUUCCUUUAUCAUCUUAGAGAUGCAUGCACUCUCUAAGAACACACUUCCACCUGACCUCAUCUGUAGAUGCUCUUUAGCACUUAUGCAAUGUAUGUAUGCGUCUAUGAUCUGCAAUAUGAAGUUCACACCUUAGUGAGAGGAGAGAAUAGAAACUCAUGUUAAAAUAGCAUAGUCUUGUCUGAAAGCUACAUAUACUUACUUCGUCGCCAAGAAAUUCUUCGGGGAGUAAUAGAUGUUCUAAGUGUCAUCUUUUGAGAUGUGAGUCGUCGAUGCUCACUAAAUUUCUUUUAUUGUUUGGUUCAGACAUGAUAUUUUCAAUCACGGACCAAUCAUCGCCGGUGCAGACGUAAUCUAUCAUGAUGUAAGUAACAACAUUUAUUAAAAACAAAGAAAAUAAAUGUAGCAAAAGCAGGGCAUAGAAAUUAAAUGUAGCAAAAAUAGGCAUAAUCUAUCAUGAUGUAAGUAACAAAAUUUAUUAAUGAUGACCACAAAAAUAAAUUUAGCAAAAGCAGGGCAUAGAAGGAUUUGUCCGUGCCUUCUGGAGCGACCACGUAGUCUUGUGCCUUCUUAGGUUUGUUAUGCAGUCGGAUAGGCUUCCCUGUCUGCACAGGCAUUGCCAGCUUGUGUACUAUAAUUUCUGCCCUUUCCCUGCCGGACGUUUGUUCUAAUUCUUCGUCCUUAGGGGCCUCCAUUUGUUCACUUGUUUCGUUGUCGGUUAAUUCCUGGGAGCAACAUUACAAAGAAUGAUCCGUAUGCAGGAUUAAUAAAGGAUUAAUAAUAUAAUUAAGAAUUAGAACUAUCUGGGACAUAUUUGGAGAAGAUGCCUGUGUCACUUCGGAGACUUCGGAAUCAGUGUCCUGCGUGCUCUUCUCAUUCUCCACUUCAUCUAUGUUGGCUAUUCCAUUUGAUUCUGCCAGCUUGCCCCCUAUAGUUUCUGCCCCUUCGGUGCCGAAUGUUUGUGCUAAUUUGUCUUCAUGAGCUGGCUGCAUUUGUUUACUUGUUUCGUUUAAGGUUAAUUCCUGAGAGCAACAUUACAAACAAUAAUCCAUAUGCAGGAUAUAAUUAGAAUUAUAACUAUUUGGGACAUAGUUGGAAAAUAAAAGACGCCUCUGUCACCUCGAAAUCAGUGGAUUGUGUGCUUUUCUUUUUCUCCACUCCAUAUUUGUCGGCUAUUCCAGUUGAAUCUGUCAGCUUGUCCCCUAUAGUUUCUGUCCCCUUGGUGCCGAAUGUUUGUGCUAAUUCCUCGUCCUGAUCUGGCUGCAUUUCUUCACUUGUUUUGUUGAAGGUUAAUUCCUGUAUGCAACAUUACAAAGAAUAAUCCGUAUGCAGGAUAUUAUAUAAUUAUAGUUAGAAUAAUCCUGGCUAUCAUGAUGUAAAGAAUUGUAUGUAUGAUAAUCUAGUACAAAAUACAUAUUAUUCCUGUAUGCUUGUCUUAGGGUAGCACCUGAUCAAUCUGCAUAUUUUCCGUAUCAUCCAUGAUUUCUUGAUCUUGUGAUGCCUUUGUUGACUCGUGGUUCAUAUCCUCGUCCUUGGGUCCCUUUUUGGUGUUUUCCUGAAAACCCAAGCAUUUAUUAUUAGCACGCAGUUAACAUUACUCUCAUUCUUAUUUCUACAUCACACCUGGAUGCACAUAUCUGCAUAUGUUCUUAACAUAGUGGUAUGAGGACAUUCUUUCCAAUUAAAUUUCAAUAAUACAAUAUUAUCCAGUAUUUAUAAAAGAGAAGAUAUUAUUCAAGUGAGUAAAGAAUUGUAUGUAUGAUAAUCUAGUACAAAAUACAUAUUAUUUCGUCCUGCCAGAAUAAGAAUAAUAAUGACAUGUGAAAAUAAAAAGCGCCUUUGUUGCAUUGGGGUUUGUAUGCUUGUCUUAGGGUAGCACCUGAUCAAUGUGCAUAUUUUCUGUAUCAUCCAUGAUUUCUUGAUCUUGUGAUGCCUUUGUUGACUCGUGGUUCAUAUCCUCGUCCUUGGGACCCUUGUUUGUGUUUUCCUGAAAACCCAAGCAUUUAUUAUUAGCACGCAGUUAACAUUAGUCUCAUUCUUAUUUCUACAUCAAAUCUGGAUGCACAUAUCUACAUAUGUUCUUAACAUAGUGGUAUGAGGACAUUCUUUCCAAUUAACUUUCAAUAUGUAUUUGUUUGUUUUAUUAUCCAGUCAACUUUUUGAGAGUCACUUCGGUGACUAUUCUCUCAAGUAAUCAGGUGGAUGCAGUAAUAUGAAUUUCCUUAGGCACACAGAGCAUCUUGGUAAUUUUGCGGGGGCAAACAAAGCAUGUUGAUUCACUUUGUUGGAUCCCCUCUAGUGACCAUAUUGCCUUCUAGAUGUGAAAUCGUGAAUAUUGUGUAAUCACAGAGAGAUAUCAUUACCACGAUGAUGGCAGAUUGAUCCGCAGAGCUCACCAGGGAUUGUGACGCAGACAUGGAGGAAGAUGGUAGUUCACCACGGAGAGAUGUGUACGGCAGGCUGGAGAGACCUGCGGUGGAGGAGGCCGGCGCGGUGGAGGGGUGUGAGGAUGCGGCUUGGGAGAGAGGAUGGAGAGGUGGAAGAAAACCCUACGGUGCAAAACUUGUUGGUUCUUUGUGCUCCUGAUCGAGAGAUCGUUAGUUGUAGGCAAUAUGUAAGGCGGAAAUCACAGCAAGGAUUUCCAUAGCGUGAGGAGGAAAGGAAUCGUGGUCGUUAUCUCAGGGCCGACACCUUUCCUUUGAUUUAUCUCAGGCCCUUUUUUUUGCUUUUUUAUACCCGACACAUAUACAGAAUUAAUGUAAUCAUUUUUCAAUAUUUCUUGCACGCUAGUAAUAUAGCCUGGUCUGGAAAAACUUCAUACAUAAUUUCUUAUAUGAAAGAAACCAUCAUCCAUAUACCACACCUGGGUUAACUGAACUACCUCGGUGGUAUUUGCAGGGCUGACCUGCAUGAGUACUCAUUGAGGAGCAAGAGUAUCUCAGGCCCCACGCUUUCCUCGUUUAUCUCAGGCCCAAUGUUUUUUUUUGUUUUUUUAUACCCCACACAUACAGAAUUAAAGGAGUUAUUUUCGUAAUACAUUUUUAUACAGAAUUAUUGGGUUCAGCUCAUCGGAAUGUUUCAUCGAUACUUUUGUGUGCUUUCUCUUACCUUUUUUUAUAUACAUAAAGUUUACCUCUCUGUGUAGAAAAAUAAUUCUUGUAUCAUUUGUCUUGCCAGCUAGUUAACGUUUGUCUUGCCAGCUAGUUAAUGUACCCUCAGCGGCCGUGCUUGAUAGGAGGGGCCAGGGAAGUGCUUUAAGUCGUUCCAAGAAUGUGAGACAGUGUCAAGUCUGUAAGGCAAGUCAAGGCGCUCCUGUUGGUAAAGAUUGCUUUGCUUGGAACGAUCUUGUACCUAUUCUAUUGUCUGUUUUUUCGACUCGGUGUUUAGUAAUGCGUGGUUAUCCUGUUGUCAAUUUGCAGCGGCAAGAUCCUUCAGCGGUGCAGGAGAUUAAGGGUUCCAUAAUCGAUUCCGCGCCUAUUGCUGUCCCCAAUUUUCAGGUAAGCACUGAAGCGAACCUAAAGCCAUCUAAUAUUCUAUUGUCUUUCUGAAAAAAGAUAGCAUGUGAGCUCAUGUACCACAGAUUCGGGAACG
rnacentral:lncRNA from 1 species